GUACUGUGCAAACGUUAUUCGGAAUCACUGGGCUUAAAGGGUGCGUAGGCGGUGAUUUAAGUAGGGUGUGAAAUCCCUCGGCUCAACCGAGGAACUGCGCUCUAAACUGAAUCACUUGAGUAAGAUAGGGGUGUGCGGAACUUCCGGUGGAGCGGUGAAAUGUGUUGAUAUCGGAAGGAACGCCAGUAGCGAAAGCGGCACACUGGGUCUUAACUGACGCUGAGGCACGAAAGCCAGGGUAGCGAACGGGAUUAGAUACCCCGGUAGUCCUGGCUGUAAACGAUGAGUACUAGUUGGAAGGCGCUUACGCAUUUUCCAACGUAGCAAACGUAUUAAGUACUCCGCCUGGGGAGUAUGGUCGCAAGGCUG
rnacentral:rRNA from 1 species